UGAACGCUGGCGGCGUGCUUAACACAUGCAAGUCGAACGAUGAAGCUACUGCUUGCAGUAGCGGAUUAGUGGCGCACGGGUGAGUAAUAUAUAGAUAACGUGCCUCUUAGUCUGGGAUAGCCAUUGGAAACGAUGAUUAAUACUAGAUACUCCUUCUCCUUCUAAUUGGAGUUGGGAAAGUUUUUCGCUAAGAGAUCGGUCUAUAUCCCAUCAGCUAGUUGGUAGUGUAAGAGACUACCAAGGCAAUGACGGGUAGCGGGUUUGAGAGGAUGAUCCGCCACACUGGUACUGAGACACGGACCAGACUCCUACGGGAGGCAGCAGUGAGGAAUAUUGCACAAUGGAGGAAACUCUGAUGCAGCAACGCCGCGUGGAGGAUGACGCAUUUCGGUGUGUAAACUCCUUUUACGAGUCAAGAAAAUGACGGUAGCUCGUGAAUAAGCACCGGCUAACUCC
rnacentral:rRNA from 1 species